rnacentral:misc_RNA from 1 species
AUGAACAAUUUGGAGGGCUUUGAGAAGUUGAUUGAGGACACUGUGAGUGGAGGUCUGCAUACAAUGGUGCUGGCCCUGGGUCACAGAGUGGGGCUCGUGGACGCCUUCUACAGACUGGGCAGACCCGCCACAGCCAAGGAAAUCAGCAAGGAGGCCAGCCUCAAUCUCAGAUAUGUUCAGGAAUGGCUCGCGUGUAUGACAGCAAAAGGCAUCGUACAGUAUGAGGACGAGUCCUACAGCCUGCCCGCCUCUGAGCGAGUCCAGAAGGCCGUCCUGACUUCCGCUGUCCUCCCAAUGUUCGCAGACUGUCUGUCCAGCCUUGAGAGCGUGAUGCAGGAUCCGGAUCACAACAGAGGUUAUCCUUUCCCGCAAAAGGACUUAGAAUGGCUCGGAAAAUUUAACGAAGUAAGUGCCUUUAACCCUGAAUGGAUAACACGGAAUUUGCAGCCUGUGUUUGAACAUUUUCACACGGAAACACAAGAAAAUAUUGAAAACAUAUUGGACUUCGGUUGCGGCUACGGAAAACUGUGUCAACAACUGGCGCUCAGCCAACCUGACUGUGACGUCACUGGAGUGGAUAUAGACGAAGUCUCGGUCAAACACUGUCAGCAGACAUACUGUUAUCCCAACCUUCGCUUCCUUCGAAAUGCAGACUUUUUUUAUUCCAACCUGAAAAAAAAUUUCGAUGUGAUAAUUCUAAUGGAAAUGUUGCAUGACCUGCCCGAUCCCAGUCAUGUCUUAUCUGAAUUGAAAUCAGUCUUAAAACCUAACGGAUAUAUUGUAGCUUUUGAGCCCAACAUAUCGUCCGAUGUUUCUGCUAACAUAGGGAGCAAGGCUGCGCAGUCUCACUUGCCAUACAGUGUGUUCUUCUGUUUGCCUAACAGCAUGUCCCAGAGCCCGGCAGUGGGGCACGGAGCGGGCUGGGGGGUGGAGGAUCGCAGACAGUUCAUUGUAAACGAUGGAUUUUCUAUUGUAAAUGUUGACAGCCAUUUACUUGACAACGAGUACGACAGAAUCGUCUUUAAAAUGUCGACAACAUGACCAGCAUGUUAAAUUAUUCACAUUCUCUCUUGGCCGAUUGUUUGCUCAUACACACACACCAAACUGGUUGGAAUAAAGAGAAGAAAAAUAAUCCUAAAUAUUUACAAGUCCAAAUUCUAAUUUGUGGUAAUCGACGUACGAAAAAGGGAAACAUGGAUAUUUUGUGGAAUGUUACAACGCACUUUUAAAGAUUAUGCACUUUGAAAAUAUUAUGAUUUUGUAAAAUAGCAGUGCAAUAAAAGUACCCUAAUGCUU